UACGGAGGGAGCUAGCGUUGUUCGGAAUUACUGGGCGUAAAGCGCACGUAGGCGGCUUUGUAAGUUAGAGGUGAAAGCCCGGGGCUCAACUCCGGAACUGCCUUUAAGACUGCAUCGCUUGAAUCCAGGAGAGGUGAGUGGAAUUCCGAGUGUAGAGGUGAAAUUCGUAGAUAUUCGCAAGAACACCAGUGGCGAAGGCGGCUCACUGGCCCGUUACUGACGCUGAGGCACGAAAGCGUGGGGAGCAAACAGG
rnacentral:rRNA from 1 species